GUGUCAGCCGCCGCGGGUAAUACGUAGGUGGCAAGCGUUGUCCGGAUUUAUUGGGCGUAAAGCGAGCGCAGGCGGUUUCUUAAGUCUCAUGUGAAAGCCCCCGGCUCAACCGGGGAGGGUCAUUGCUUACUGGGAGACUUGAGUGCAGAAGAGGAGAGUGGAAUUCCAUGUGUAGCGGUGAAAUGCGUAGAUAUAUGGAGGAACACCAGUGGCGAAGGCGGCUCUCUGGUCUGUAACUGACGCUGAGGAGCGAAAGCGUGGGGAGCGAACAGGAUUAGAAACCCCCGUAGUCC
rnacentral:rRNA from 1 species